AAAUAUUAACUCACACCCCCCCCCAACGCCAGGGUAUUACGAGCUUUAGCUUAAAACCCAAAGGACUUGACGGUGUCCCACCCAUCUAGAGGAGCCUGUUCUUUAAUCGAUAAUCCCCGCUACACCUAACCACCCCUUGCCAAUCAGUCUGUAUACCUCCGUCGUAAACUUACCAUAUGAAUGUCUAUAGUGAGUCCAAUGACCACAAGCACCAAUACGUCAGGUCAAGGUGCAGCUCACGUGGUGGCAAGCAAUGGGCUACAAUUUCUACAUUAGAACAAACGAAACGCUGCAUGAAACACAGCCGCGAAGGCGGAUUUAGUAGUAAAAAGAAAAUAGCGUGUUCUUUUUAACUAGGCCCUGGGACGUGU
rnacentral:rRNA from 1 species